ACAGCAGCCGCCACGGUAAUACGUAGGGUGCAAGCGUUAAUCGGAAUUACUGGGCGUAAAGCGUGCGCAGGCGGUUAUAUAAGACAGAUGUGAAAUCCCCGGGCUCAACCUGGGAACUGCAUUUGUGACUGUAUAGCUAGAGUACGGCAGAGGGGGAUGGAAUUCCGCGUGUAGCAGUGAAAUGCGUAGAUAUGCGGAGGAACACCGAUGGCGAAGGCAAUCCCCUGGGCCUGUACUGACGCUCAUGCACGAAAGAGUGGGGAGCAAACAGGAUUAGAUACCCCCGUAGUCCCUGUCUCUUAUAC
rnacentral:rRNA from 1 species